rnacentral:rRNA from 1 species
ACGAACGCUGGCGGCGUGCUUAACCCAUGCAAGUCGAACGAUGAAGCGGGUGCUUGCACUCGUGGAUUAGUGGCGAACGGGCGAGUAACACGUGAGUAACCUGUCCUUUUCUUUGGGAUAACGGCUGGAAACGGCUGCUAAUACUGGAUAUUCAGGUUGCAUCGCAUGGUGUGGUUUGGAAAGGUUUUUUCUGGGAUUGGGUGGGCUCGCGGCCUAUCAGCUUGUUGGUGGGGUGAUGGCUUACCAAGGCUUUGACGGGUAGCCGGCCUGAGAGGGUGGUCGGUCGCACUGGGACUGAGAUACGGCCCAGACUACUACGGGAGGCAGCAGUGGGGAAUAUUGCACAAUGGACGAAAGAUUGAUGCAGCGACGCCGCGUGGAGGGUGUAGGCCUUCGGGUUGUGAACUCCUUUUUCUCGCGAAAAAGGCACAGUUUUGGCUGUGUUGAUGGUAGUGGGGGAAGAAGCGCCGGCUAACUACGUG